UCCGUAAUGCACCGACGCCGUAUGGUGGAUGACUUGGCUUGGGUGGCGACGAAGGACGUGGCAAGCUGCGAAAAGCCCCGGGGAGGAGCAUGCAGCCUUUGAUCC
rnacentral:rRNA from 1 species